rnacentral:lncRNA from 1 species
AAAGGAUUUAAUUAAAGCCGGCAUUAGGAGCACCUAAAUCAGUCACACUGAUUUACCUAAUGACAUGGGUGAGCCCUAAUCACCAAGUGAUCUAAUCAAAACCUAACUCACCAAGUUGGCCAGGUAAGUGAGAUCAGUGGUGGGGAUAAGCCAUUAACUCGUCAGAGAUCGAAUCAAUGCGAGUAGCUCCCACUUAAGAACCACUGGUCAAAUUGCCGAACUUACCUUAGACACCAACCGGUUCAUUAGUUUUAAUUUGAUCAACUUAGUAAAUAGGGUUCCACCG